GGGGAAUUUUCCGCAAUGGGUGUAAGUCUGACGGAGCAAUACCGCGUGAGGGAGGAAGGCUUUUGGGUUGUAAACCUCUUUUCUCAGGGAAGAAGUUCUGACGGUACCUGAGGAAUCAGCAUCGGCUAACUCCGUGCCAGCAGCCGCGGUAAUACGGAGGAUGCAAGCGUUAUCCGGAAUUAUUGGGCGUAAAGCGUCCGCAGGUGGUGCAUCAAGUCGGCUGUCAAAGACUAGGGCUUAACCCUGGAGCGGCAGUGGAAACUGGUGGACUAGAGUACGGUAGGGGUAGAGGGAAUUCCCAGUGUAGCGGUGAAAUGCGUAGAGAUUGGGAAGAACACCAGUGGCGAAGGCGCUCUACUGGACCUGUACUGACACUCAGGGACGAAAGCUAGGGGAGCGAAAGGGAUUAGAUACCCCUGUAGUC
rnacentral:rRNA from 1 species